GGAGAUUUAGCUCAGUGGCAGAGCGCUUGCCUAGCAAGCGCAAGGCCCUGGGUUCGGUCCCCAGCUCCG
rnacentral:tRNA from 1 species